CCGGGCGGCCGCGGUAGCGUGAGGCUGGAGAAACGUCCCCGCUCAGUGCCGUGGUGUGUUUCAGCAGCUCGCCUUGUGCGUCUGGCGGGACAGCGGCGCACGGACGGUUCGGGCGUAGCCUGAAGAAGUGCUGAGGGCAUGGCCUGGAAGAAGGACUCGCUGUGGUAUGUGCUGAGAGAAGGUGGGCUUGGAAAGCCCUGUGGGCACACACUGCCGCUGCUCUCCGAUUCUUCUAACAUCAGUACUCCUCCCAGUUUACCUCUUGAAUUCAAUAUACAAGAUGGGACCACCAGUGCAGAAAGUGAUAUUGUUAUUCCUGGAGUAAUCAACAAUACUGGCAUGCUAACAAUGCCAGAAAGUCUUCCUGAGUAACUGUCUGAGAAGGCACCUUCACUUGUUAAUCAGACCUCAAAGUUGGCAAGGGAUUCUUCGAUGCAGAUUGAAGAGCACUUCAGAAACACCAAAAAUACUGUAGCAUGAAUGACUUCGGAGCAAGCUCUCUGUCCUGGACUUCAGGAGAGCAGAUUUCAACCUCUUCAGGGAUCUGCUUGGUAGGAUAUCAUGGCAUAAAAUCCUGGACAGGAGAGGAGCCCAAGAAAGCUGGUCAGUAUUCAAAGAUUACCUCCUCCAAGCCCAGGAGAUAGGCAUCCCAAUCAAGAGGAAGGCUGGCAAGAAUGCCAGGAAACCUGCAUGGAUGAACAAAGAAAUCCUAGAUGCUUUUAGAUGAAGAACGAAAGUCUUCAGAGGAUAGAAGCAGGGACAGGUAGCCUGGGAGAAAUACAAAGAAGUUGUCUGAGAAGCCAGGGAUCAGCUUAGGAAAGCUAAAGCCCAGUUAGAGUUAAGCCUGGCCUGGGACAUCAAGGGUAAUAAAAAGUGCUUCUACAGGUACCUCAGUGAUAAAGAGGCAGAACAGGGAAAACGUGGGCCCUCUGCAGAAGGAAACAGGAGAUCUUGUCACACAGGGUAUGGAGAAGGCUGUGGUACUGAACACAUUUUUUGCCUUAGUCUUACUGCUAAGAGCUCUGACAACACUGUCGAGGUCACAGAAGAUAAGGGUGGAGACUGGGAAAAGGAAGAUCUGCCCACUGUAGAAGAGCAGGUUUGAGACCAUCUAAAGAACCUGAAAGUGCACAAGUCCAUGGGACCUGACAAGGUCCAUCUGCAGCUCCUUGGCGAGCUGGCAGAUGAAGUUGCAAUGCCACUUUCCAUCAUAUUUGAAAAGUCAUGGCACUCUGGUGAAGUUCCCACUGGCUGGAAAAGGGGAAACAUAACUCCCAUUUUCUAAAAGGGAAGGAAAGAAGACCCAGAGAACUACAGGCCAGUCAGACUUACCUCUGUACCCAGCAAUAUCACGGCGCAGAUCCUCCUGAAAGUUCUGCUAAGGCACAUGGAAAACAUGGAGGUGGUUGGUGGCAACCAAUGUGACUUCACCAUGGGCAAAUCAUGCCUGACAAAUUUGGUGGCCUGAUAAUGUGAUGCUUUUCCACGUGACAUUUGGCCAGGAAGAUUAUUGGAAAAGCUAAUUUACAAAUGUGCUUUGAGGACCUAAUACAUUUGUGCAAGAAGGCAAAAUGUCAGUAGUAUUUUUAGGGGCAUCACCGAGCAUUGUUGUACAGUGAUGCAUAUAGACCAGGCAAAGAGAGAACCUCAAACUACAAAGACCCAUUUAUAAAAGUAUGCUUUAAAAUACUGGAUGAUUUUGUUUCCCUCAGGCAGUGGUGCAGCUCCACUCGUUUGUCUGAAUCCUGAGUUCUGCAUCAUUCAUUUUCUCAUGUUUCCGUAUGUUUCAAGCACCCAGUGAGCUCUUUGCAGGGCUUUCUUUCCAAGUGCCUACAGUUUCUCUUGUGCCUGACUCUUCAUUGCCUUCUAAGUAUGGUGCACAUCUUCAAAGUGUCUUGUUAUUCAUCCCAUCUCCUGUUUUAUGCUGAAAGCUUUUAAAUACGUUUUAAUGAUGCAUAACAGCAAUAUAAUGAGCCUAACAGCAUGCUAUUGAUUUUCAUUUGAAACACUGACAUUUGAACAUUUCAAUAGCCUUUUAACAGUGUGUAUAUUUAAUGUGAUUCAAAGACAAGGCAAAUGCAGUACAAUAUCUCUCUACUAAAAAACUCCACAAUCUCUAUCUACUGAACAUCUCCUCCCUUUGCCCACAGUCUGUUUGUUGAAAUCAGCCACAUUUUGAAGUGCAUAAUUUUCAGUGUCUUAAAACAAGCAAGGCAUAAUCCUUGGUAAAAGGAAAUAAAAAUGAAAAACACAAAAUCACUGUCUUGAGACACAGCUUUGUUUAUCUGGUCUGAUCAUGAUGAAGGUUUAAUGAACCACAUCCAGUCAGUGCUGUCAGAGAAUGAAAUGUUUUUGCUAUACAGGGAAGUGAAUUGUCCAAGGAUGCCCUCUAGGUAGGAGAUAGCUCAGUUAAGGCACACCCUACCUCAGGCAGGCUAACUGGGUGGACUGAGAAGCACAAAAAGAAAAAUUAAGGCAGCAAACAUACAUAUCAACAGUUCCCUUUGGAUGAAUAACUCAGUAGUUGCACCGUAUGAAGGGGACUGUUUUCAGGAGAGGUUUCUGAGAAAUCAGUUAGCAAGAUGUGAAGCAGCCAUACAGUACCCUGACUAGCCAGUAUGUGUGGCUACUUGCACAUAAUGCAUAGUUGUCAGGCUGUACCAGCAAUAUAUUUUCCUGUAGCACCUUGUAUUUUCAGUAAAAAAAAAUAAAAUUUCAGUGCUGUGACUUGAUUUUUCAGGCAGUAUUUAUAGGAAAUGAGUACAGGUCAAGUUUACAUCAAAUAUAAGCCUCACCCUUCUGGCUUUUCACAGCAUUACUAGUAUGCUUUACACAUCAUUUAUCUGUACAGCCACAUAAAUGUGAGUGAUGCUGUCAGGUAUUAGGAAAUACAGUUUUUGCCCUAUGGAUUAAUUGAACAUAAGGUUAGAGAGAGACACCACACAGAGAAAAACAAAAGACCAGGGAAACAAGGAAGACUUACACUUUUGUAAGGUCUUCAGUUCAUUUGCUUCCUAAUGUGCAGCUGUUGGUUUGUAACCACAUCAACCAAGAGGACCAUCUGAGUCAUGACUCAGACUUUGUUGCAGUUGAGUAUAAUUAGACAGGGGUUUUGCUGCUGAGCUUAAAAAAAAAGCUGCUUUGAUUUCCAUUUUGUUCAGAUGUUUUUCCAAUCUCUGUGGUUUUCUUUCAAGAUUAUGAUGCAAAUGAGGUUAAGAGCAAUAUUUCUGCCAUUAUGUGAGUGAUUUUGAAGUCUUAAGAUGCUUUUUAAAUUAGUAGUUCCCAGUGUGCAAGUUAGGCUGACAUUAAGAUACACGAGUCUCAGAAGUUACCUAAGAAAUUAAAAACUGUUUAACAAAUAAGGUACCUAAGACAGCCAUAGGCACGUUUUGUGAUUAAAACAUAAAUGAAGUUCUAUUUCUGCCCAUACCAGAGACAGUUACUUCUGACUAGUGACAGAGAGGAUCAAGGAGAUCAUCUUCAUUUGGUUGACAGAUUUGGAAAUAGGAAAAAUUGUCUGUCUUUAUUAGAUUAUAGUAGUAACUAGUAACUUUGCUGAAAGCAGUAGAGUGGAGCAUGGGUUUUAAACCAGUCUGAGAAGAAAUCUCAGAUGCAUAUAAUUGUAGACAAAAUAAAUAGCUGUUAUAAUUUUAUUUAAGAUAAAUCAUGUGAAUGGUCCCCUGGAAGAACCUAAUGCCCUUGGCUGACCACAGAGGGAUCGUAGAAUGUUGAGCUCAGAUGUCUCAUUUUUGACCUCUAAGUUAAGAAAGAUCAAUCCCAUUCCUAAAGUGCUGAAUCCCCUGGGGAAGCAAGAUCAAGUUUAAAGCUGAGUUGAGGCUAAAUCCCGGUAAAAGCCCCAAUGUAUCUACAGCCGAGAUACAUGUUCCUUUCCUUAUCUUCCAAUGGUGCAUUGCAUCCCUUUUUCCCAGACUGUGCUGGUCUUUCGUAGUUUAAACAUAAAUUCUUCAGGACAAGGACUGCCUCUAGUGACAGUCCUCAGUAUAGCAUUUGCUGGGACUGCAGAGUAGCCCUGAAAUGAAAAUUCCAGUGUCUCUCAGGAAGAAGGGGCUUCCGUGAAUAGGCUGUUGAAGCAAAACCCAAAAGGUACUGCAAAAGCAAAGGAGACAGACAAAACAACCACUUCUGUUCUGCCAACUUGUCAUGAGGGAAGUCCUCCUCAGCUCCUGCUGUACAAACCAUUCUCUUUUUUUGAUGUUAUGUCUGCACUGCUGUCUCACAAUAAUUAGAAGUUUCUAGAGGAUGUGGAACUAUUUUGUUCCCUGUCUGUUAAGUACGACUGUAAGGCCCAAGACCACAAUGCUGCCAGUUCAAUGAAACUGAAAGGCAGUAAAUUCAAGUCUUGUAAACAAAAAACAUUUUAUAUUCAGUGUACAUAAAAAACCUUUACUGCCACAGACUGUUGCCAAGGCCAAGGUUGUAAGGAGGCAUACAACAUCUUCAAAGGUAGCAAAAAUAUCUAGAGUUAAUGCAGGAAAGGAGAAAUUUAGAAGGAGUGGAAGUGUUUCUUCAAUUUACACAAUCUAUUAAUGACGGAUGGGACCUUUUUGGGGAUUAUUUCCUUUGAAGUAGGAGUCUUGGUCACUGUCAGACAGGAAUCUCUAGACCAUAACUCUGAUCAAAUAUAGCAAUUUCCGUGUUGCUCACUUGCACCUGAGAGAGCCUGCUGACUUCAAAGGGCACAAAGGGUUUGAUCUCAUCAUCUAUCAUCAGUGCAGAAAAAGUGCAUUCGUUCUGUGGUGGUAUGAAAAAAUGCGCAACAGGCAGUUGAUUUGCAGGCCAACAAUGUAUACACAUGGGUAAUGUGGUGUUAGUUUCCAAGACCCUACAUUUGUUGCUCUGCUGUCUUAUGCCUAAAAGGAUCCUAGGCUUUGAAAUUCACACACCUCCUGCUCUUCCUUUUAAUUCUUUACUCAAAAUCCAGUGCAAACUUCCUCUCUCAUCCUGACUAUUUAUAAGUAUGCAUAGGAACAAAUGUUUUGUAAAGAUGUGAGAGACAUUCUGCUUUAUUCCCAGGGGCAAAUAAAGCCUUUUAUUUUUAGCCCAGUUUCCUAAGGAAAUGAGACUGAUGCAAUCACAUUGUCUGUUUGUCUGUCUAUCAAAUCUGUCCCCUUACCCCCUUUCCCCCCCCCAUCGACUUCUCACCAUUAAUCUUUUCCAGCCAGAUCUGAGAGAAAGACAGAAUUAUUUCAAAAGUGCUAAAUGCACAUAAGUUUUAUGAAAAUCAGUGGCUGGGCCAGAGACCUUAGCAGUUCCCUCACUGGAGAAGUACUAGUUGAAUCCAGCAGGUAGGCAGCAACACGCUGGCAUGUCACCUUGUGCGUGGCUGUAACACUGCCAUGAUGUGUGUUGUCACCUGAAGGUGAAGAACAGGAAAGACUGGGGUGGCAGUUUGGAGGUACUUCUGGAGGGGCCGUCCUGUAUGUGUACUGUGAAGUACUUGGCAGUACUUCAGGGGUGGGGAGAGAGACAUGGCACAGGGGAAAGGAAGGGAAGGAGUGGGGUUGUUGGACAUGUGGGAGGCAGGGGACAGAGCACACUUGGGACUUUUCUUUGUAUCUCAAAGGAACCAAAUGUUAAGGUCACUUUCUGGUGAGCUUCUCAGUGGUACCUCAGGGAAUCGGGUGAAAAAGAAAUGGCAGCAUGAGAGAAGCGGUCAUCACUGGCCUUGUCAUUACCUGACCAGUCUUUCCUGGGUAGUUCCUAUCAUCAAGAAUAACAUGCAGUGGAGAAAUGGGCAGGAUCACAUGUAAAUAGUCAUUUGAUAAACCCUUUGCAAGUACAUGUGCUGCCUCAAAUGUAGAGUGCAGAUUUGCCCACAUAUUAGGUUAUGAGCAGUUUCUUGAGGUUUUCCAGUGUCAUGAACACACCAAGUAAAUUCAGACCCAGCCUGUCCCAUGGGUGCCUGACCACCUUCCUGCUCCAAUGUGUUAGAAAUGAAUUGUAGUGUUGAUUUUGCAUUCUAGUGUUAGAAAUGUAGUGUUUGGUUUGGUUCACAUAUAUAUAUUCUAGUGUUAAGACCACAUAUAGUUUGUUUGACCACAUUUAUAUUAGGACCACAUAUAGGAGUAUAUAGUUUGUUUGAGAUAUAUAUUUUAGUGUUAGGAAUAUAAUUGUUUGUUUAAGAGAUAUCUACACAUUCCAAUGACACCUGGAGUGGUUUAUGGGCCAAGAAACUGAGGGACUUAAUUGGGCUCCAUCUGGGGGAUCUGAACAUGGAGAAGGAUUUAUGGCUCAAGAUAAGGCCGAACAAAGCUACUUCUAUGUUGCUCUUCAGGGCAGGAUGACACCAGUAGAUUGUUAAUUGGGAAGACAGCCAAGGGGGCAAGAAAGGUCAAAAUUUUACCUUAAAAGGUAAAAAGUAAACUGCUAGAAUGGAAUGUGUAAACAGGGGCGGGAAACUUAUAGGAUAAUUUGAAGCGUCGGAUAGGCUGUAAACCCUGGAGUACUCAGCCAGUGGGGAAACAGGGGAGGGAAUUUUGCGUCGGGAAUAGGGAAUAUAAACCGUUAUUCACCUUGCUAUAGGUGUGCCUACUUGCUUAGGUCACCCAUUCUUGCAAGGAUGUAAAUAAACUGUGCUUCGCAGAAGGAUCUGUGUGGGCCUGCUCAUUGGCGCGACAAACGUUUCUCACAAAUGUAAGGUACAGCCCUGAGCAGCAUGUGUGUGUUUCUGUGUUGGAGGGAAGUAUGUAACUUAAGUAUUUAUUUACCUUUGCAAUGAUGUCUGGAAAAUCAUCUAGAUGCCUGGAAAGCAGUCUGAAGAUUAGCUAGGAUUAGAAGCCCAGUGAACAUGAUUUCAUAUUUCUUUUGUGACAUGUAUAUUAUCUUAUAUUUCAACAUCACAGCAUUGUCCUCAGUGACCUGUAUUUUAAGUCUUGGGAAAUGGAAGUGCCUUGGAGAUGUGUAGUGUGAUGCAACAUUUUGGGAGAAGGGCACACUCUUAAAAAGAAAAGCAAUUUUGGUUUUUAAAAAGCUUCUCCAACUUAGUUUGACAUCUGCUAAAAGCUUCCAAACAUGCUUAUUGUGAUGUUUAAGAAUUAUUUUUAUUACAGAGUAAUUGGUAAGAUCAUUUAGAGAGACUAAGCUUCCUUUAGUUCCUCCCUAUUCAACAAUAUGCUGGUCAGCAGAUAAUGAUUAAACAUCUUUUUAGCAAAGACGUAAGGUCUCUCUGGAAAGCAGCUUCUUCUGUUAGGGUGUUGCAACAUGUUGGUACCCUAAAAAUCUAUUUAGACCUGUGUUGGUGGCAUGCCUUUUCUUUAAUUGCCCUACCCUUUCUCACUAAACCUGCUUCCUAAAUUCUUUUCAGCCUAAAUCUGAAGUGUCUACAAACUAUGGUCUUGCAAGGGAUUCAGAACAGGCUAGUGGGUAGACAGGAGAUGAAAGACAUACCACAAAAGCAAUGACCCUGUCAUGAUGAACCAUGUAAAUAAGGAAAUUCUACACACACACACAGACACACACACUCUCACUGCUCCUUAACAAAAAAAGUAGUAGAGGGAGUAGAGUACAGUUUUCUUCUUAGAUAAGAUGACAGGGCAGGAAUCUGUUCAGGGAGAAUAAAGGUUUCCCAUUCUCCUGCAAAGGCUUAGUGAUCUUGGACACAGAUCCAAAUUACUGUGAAUGUGGUUGGCCUUGGAGUGUGUGGGAAAGGAAGAAGAGUCAAGAAGUACCUACAGCAUGAAAUUCUUCCUCUCACAUACACAAAGUAUGAUGCACACAAAUGUUCAGGUAUGCUACUUACAGCACAGAGAUAUGAAACUAUGUGCCAUCCCUGAGUUCUCUUGCUGUCCCUGCCUGCCACAGAAGACUG